rfam:Homo sapiens chromosome X, GRCh38 reference primary assembly.
AGGGAACCAUGAAAGAAUAAUUACAAAUACAGAAAGGCAAAGAUAAUCCCUUCUAACAUUUGCAUAAUGAAUUAACUAGUAUAAUAUUACUAAGAGAACUUUUUAGCUAAAAUCCUUGAGACCAGAGGAGCUACCCAUAGAAAGUCAAGAGAACACACUCAUUUAUACAGCAAAAUAAUGAGAAAAUCAAUGGGUAGAGGUAAAAGGCCUACCGAACCUGGUGACAGCUGGUUUUAUCAAGAUAGAAUUUAAGUUUAACUUUAAGUUUACCUAUAGAAUUGUCUAAUCCUAUUGUAAUUUUAUAUGUUAGUCUAAAGGGGGACAGCUCUUUAGAUGUAGGAAAUCACUUUUUCACUAACGGUAAGACACAAAACUCCUUUAGUUUGCCUAAAAGCAGACACCGAUUAAGAAAUCAUUGAAGUUAAACAUUUGAAACCCCUUAAUUUCAAUCACUACAUCUAAUUUCUAACACUAUACUGGACCAAUCUAUUUUUAAAUAGAAGAAAUACUGUUAGUAUAAGUAACAAUAAAUAAUUGUCUUUGCAUAAGCUUAGUCUUUGCGUAAGCUUAAUCUUUGCAUAAGCUUAUGUCAAACUGGAAAAUCCACUGAGAGUUAAUAAUCCAAUACAGAUAAUCAUAUUAUAAACUUUUUAUUGUCCCAAUUGGUAACCUAACACACAGAUGCAUUAAGGAAAGAUUUUAAAAAGUAAAAGGAACUCAGCAAAAUCAAACCCUGCCUGUUUACCAAAAACAUCACCUCUGACAUAACUAGUAUUAGAGGCACUACCUGCCCAGUGACAUAAGUUUAACAGCCACAGUAUCCUGACCAUGCUAAGGUAGCAUAAUCAUUUGUUCCCAAAAUGGGAACUUCCAUGAAUGGCCUCACAAGGGUUUAAUUGUCUCUUACGUUUAAUCAGUGAAAUUGACCUAUCUGUGGAGAGGCAGAAAUAUUUAAGUAAGAUAAAAAAAACCUUAUGGAGUUUCAAUUUAUUAGUAGAAAUAAACUUAUAAAAAAGCCUUAAUAGGUCUUUUUGGGAGUAAUUAUUUUUAUUUUUAAAUAUCUAGUGUACCACCAUGGCAUGUAUUCUUUAAAUUUUAUACAAACAAGCACAUUUUUUCAGUGUUUUGAUGUAUUUUCAUAUUUUUCUAACUUAGACGUGUAGGCAAUACAUUUUAUCUAAUGAACCAAAAAUUUUGGUUGGGGUGACCUCAGAGCAUAACACAACCUCUGAAAUGAUUUCAGCUAGGACCACACUAGUCAAGGUAAUCUAUUACACAUUGACCCAAGUAGUUUGAGCAAUGGAACACGUUACCUUAGGGAUAGCAGUACAAUCCUAUUCUAGAAUCCGUAUCAGCAAUAGGGUGUAUGACUUCGAUAUUGGAUCAGGAUAUUCCAAUGAUGUAACUACAAUUAAUGGCUCAUAUGUCCAAUGAUUAAAGUCCUAUGUGAUCUGAGUUCAGACCAGAGUAAUCCAGGUAAGCUGCUAUCUAUUCAAUAUUUCUCUCAGUACAAAAGGACAAGAGAAACAGGGCCCACUUCAAAAAGUGCCCUCG